GCCUUGGUAGCUCUGUCGGUAGAGCAUGUGACUGAAAAUCACAGUGUCGGUGGUUCGAUUCCGCCCCAAGGCACCA
rnacentral:tRNA from 1 species